CUUCCACAAUGUUCCCAGAGUCUUAAGUGCCAUAGUUGUUUUGUAAAUGUAUCCACUGAGACUGUGUUCUACAACUCUGCAUUUCUGUUUGUUGUUGUUUUCUCUGGUGGUCUCUGUUUGUUGCUUACUGAAGUUCCUGGAUGAGAGAACCAGAGUACCCUUAUCAAGUGGCCUGCAACUGCCUGUAACCACAGAUCCAGGGGAUUAUUUCUUCUAUUCUCAUACCCUAGGAAAAGAGCACAUUUCAAUCUCCAGACAGUACACAUUUGCAAUAAUUUGUGGAAAGAGACUGGAAAAUUUGGGAAGCAUUUUCUGCCAUGCCAUGUCUUUAAAAGGGAUUCCUCAGAUUCUCUGUAAAUGCUGAUAAUUACAA